rnacentral:rRNA from 1 species
UACGAAGGGGGCUAGCGUUGCUCGGAAUUACUGGGCGUAAAGGGCGCGUAGGCGGGUUUGUAAGUCAAGUGUGAAAUUCCGGAGCUCAACUCCGGAGCUGCACCUGAAACUACAAGUCUAUAGAGGGAUGGCGGAGAAAAUGGAAUCCACGUGUAGCGGUGAAUGACGUAGAUAUGUGGAAGAACACCAGUGGCGAAAGCGGUUUUCUAGCUAUUACCUGACGCUGAGGCGCGAGAGCAUGGGGAGCAAACAGG